UACAAUAAGUGCAUUAAAACUUAGAUUUAUUACAAAAAUGUGCUACAAGCAAAAAUGUAUGUUCAUUUUGAAUAUUUACUAUGUCAAUGUGUGUAAAAAAUUGGGCUAGUUGACAAUAAUUGUUUUGACAUUGUGUUGCAAAAGCAUUUGUUUCAAUUUUGUAAAAACUAUUGCUAGCAACAAUUUUUGACUUUGAAAAUUGAUUCCAAGUUUUGAAAACAUAAUGUUAGCAACAUUUUCUGACUUGAAAUUUGGUUCCAAGUUGAAAAAUAUGUUAACACAAAUAAAGAGAACAAAUUUCUGACUUGAAAAUUUGGGUUCCAACUUUCUGACAAAUUGGAUAGGCACCUAUUUUCUGACUUUGCAAAAUUUGGUUCCAACUUCUGAAAAAAAUUGGAUAGCAACAAUUUACUGACUUUGAAAAAUGUGGUUAACAGAGCUGAGCGUGUUGAAAUUGGUAUAAUAAUUUCCUGACUUUGAUAUAAAUGUGGUUGCAUACUUUUGCCAAAAAUUGAAUAGCACCAUUUUUCUCAUUUUCGACUUUGAAUGUGGGUUGGAACUUUGAAAAUUUGGUACAGUAUAAUUUUCUUUCUGACUUUUGAAAAUGUGUGUGUGUGGCCAACUUUUGAAUUAGAGAAUCAAAAAAAAAAUAAAGAAUAGCAACCCAUUUCUGACUUGACAUGGUAUUUUCAAAUUUGAAAAUUGGCGUAAGAAAACUAGCAAAACUUCAAAUUCCAUCUUACCAACUCGGUUAUAGUUCUUCCUAGAAGCUAUAAAAUCAUAUCCUUUACGCUCUCAUUUUUUAUCUUGGAAUCUUAUGGAGAAUCAAAGAACUCAAAGCAUUCUUCAUUCUUCAUUUUCCAAAAUUCCCCUUUGAGCCUUCAAUUUAUUCAUACAAGAGUUCUCGUGAGAGAGACAUUGUAAAAGCUUCAUUUGUAUAUCCUUCUCAAAAGGAGAAUUGUUAUUGUGAGAGAAAUCUCAAAUCUAUUUCAGUCGAUUGUAUCUAGAGGGUUGUUUUGACCCUGUUUAGGUGUGAAGGAAAUUUUCCACCUUGUGAGAAGAGUGUGUACUCUUGCGUGUAAGGUUUGAACUCCACCUGCACAGGAGUUUGGCGGAUUAGUGUUGAUUGAAAUCUUCAAGUGUUGUGCUUUGGGAGUGACGUAUGUCAGGAAGACCGAACCACUAUAAAUUAUAGCCGAGUUUUGAUCUCUUUCCUUCUCGUUGUAUUAGUGUGCUCAUAUUUAUACGCUCGGUGCAUUAUACUGCUUUUUAUAUCAUUUGGAAACUCUUAAUUCAGUAUAAUUUAUUAAAAGAAAAGUUUUGCCAACAAACCCUAUUCCCCCCCCUCUAGGGUUAAUUUCUGGGUAACAAGUGGUAAUCAAGCAGGACUCUACAUUUUUCGGUAUCUAAAACGAUCUAGGAUUAAAAAGAUCUAUGGCCACAUAAUAGGAACACAUAUGGCCGAAUGCCAUUCCAUACAUAGACUCUGCUUUCCACUUAUUCGUCCGGAUAGUAAUUUAUAGAUUAUUGUGAAGGCUAGAAUUAAAAUUUUAUAUUCAGUGCCAAUGAUUAUGCAUGUUUGUCGAGCAUUAACAAAGCAUGGACCUAUUGCGUCCCACAAAAUAACUGAAAGUGGAGAGUGGUUACUAUAAACCUCAAAGAAUGGACUAUCGUAGAUACAAAAGCACAUGUAACAAAAUAAUGCUCAAGCCAACUUACACCACUUUUUAUAUUGUGCCUUACAGACGUAACGCAUUAAAUAAAUCUCCGGUGGUGAAACGGCUAAGGAAAUUGUUGGGAUAAGACACGUAAGAAUCCACCCAUGCGAACUGGACCAUCAAGUAAAAGGAAUCAAAAAUAAGUAUGUUAGGUUCAUUAAUACGAAUUUUUAAAAAUGAAUCAAGUGAUACUAAUGUAUCUGCAAUGUGUUCUACCUCGUUUUUUUAACCGAUAUGAUGUGUUCAUUAAUGGAGUGUAAGAGUCGCGCUGUAAAGUUUGUAUACAAUGUCGAAAUGGUGCGAGUAAUGCAUUGCUUAGGUGUCAUUAUCCACAAGAAGUUGGGAGACCAAACGUAUACCUGCCAUUGAAGAAUGCCAAAAGUAGCCCAUCACCAAAAAUGGGUCUUGAUGAAUUGGCUUGGAUCUCUCAUACACUGAAAUCACCUUGAGAGCAAUGAGGAAAAUGACGAAGGUAAAAAAAGAGAGAAAUUGCUUUCAAACCUCAUCAGCACAAACAAUGAUGAACCUCAACAUGAAUGAGGAAGUGAUGAAGAUAUGGCUCUCUUAAACGAAGAUUUACAGAUUUCAAAAGAGGUCAUUUCCUAGAAGACAAGGACGACCGAAACUUCGACAAAAAUGAAGACAAAAGAAGGACCCCCCAUCAUUUGCUUUGAAUGCAAAAAGCCCGGUCACAUGAAAGUUUGAUUGGCCAAAUCUCAAGAAAGAUCAAACGAGAUAGAGAAAUAUCAAAUUUGAAAAAUUCAAGAAGCUUUUCGGCUUGGGGAGAAAUUGACGUUGACACAUCCGAUGAUGAGUCCGGUGAUUCAAGAAGUGGCAAUUGUGUUCUUGUUCCUCAAGAAGAUAUAAAAAUGAGGUACAAUCUCGAAUCCAUUCCUUAAAUGAUUUACAAGAUGAUUAUGAUGAUUUAUAUUAGGGAAUCAUUGAAAUUAAUAACAAACAUUGCAUGCUUUAAAACAAUUGCCAUCACUUUCUAUUGAAAUAGAAACCUUUUGAAGAAGCUGGCUAAUGAGUGACAAGUAAAUAUUGAACUACUGAUACAAUUUUAGAUCUAACAAAAUGUCUUGGAAAAAUUUACAAAAGUCAAAAGAUUUUGGAUCUACUUCUUGGAUCACAAAGAUGUGUAUAUGAUCCGUGCGGGAUUGGACACAAUAUUCAACUAACAAAAUUAUAUAAAUAUCUUUGUGUGAAUCAACUUCUUUUUCGACCACAAAAAUUUCAUGCACAGAUUGCAAUCCUAAGGGCAUACUCAAAAACAUGCUAUGUGAAGAAUGUGUUAGGUAAAGGAUUAAAAAACAAUAUGGGGACCUAAGAAGAAAAAUGCUACUAACAUUCAAGGACCCAACCAGAUUUGGGUACCAAGACAAUGGUUGAUCUUGUAUAAGGUUGCUGAAUGAAUUCAAAGAAAGGAGGAGGGGGGGGGGGGGGGGUGGUACUUGUAGUGGAUGCUCAAGACAUUGACUCGGAGAAUAAAUCCACCUUUCGCAUACUAAUCCAAAGGAUGUGGAUUUGUGACCUUCGAGACAAUAGCAAGGAAAAAUCUCGUAUAGUUAAUGGGGUAGGAACCUUCUCCUUUAUAUAAAAUGUUUACUUGUUGAUGGAUUAAAGCAUAACUUUACUUAGUAUUAGUCAUAUGUGAUACGGAAAAUAAAGGCAUCUUUGACAAAUAUGUGCCCAUAGAAAAAUAUCAAAGAUGAUAAAACUUAUUUAAUUGUCAAAGAAUUGAAAUGUAAUUUUUUUUGUUAAAAAUUGAUGACGUUGAGCCAACAAAUGGACUUGCUUAUCAGCCAUGAAUGACAAACGGUUGGCUAUGGCCAUAAAGGCCUUGGGCAUUCUCUAUAGAUCUUAUUUCAAAACUUGCUAAAAGGAUUGGUAAUUGGGCUAACCAAAAAUUUCUUUUGAAAAGAUAGUUGUGUGGAGCAUGUCACCAAGGACAACAAACAAAGUGUCUUUUAAGUCAAAAAUAUCGUUUCUUCUCUCUCUUCUAACAUCUAAGGCCUCUACAACUUCUACACACAUGGACCUUAAUUGGUCCUUCAAGACAAUGAAGUUCGUGAGGAAAUUAUACAUUCUUGUGAUUUGUGAUGAUUUUUUCUCGAUUUACAUGGUAACAUUUUUAGCUCACAAAAAUUAAGCAUUUUCCUCAUUUCACAAAAACUUGCCGACGUCUCAAAUGAUAAAGAACUAAGACCUCAAAAUUUCUACAUUAGAACCGAUCAUGGGAAAGACUGAAAUUGAGUCUUUUUGCCAAAUUUUGUGAUAUCUCGGAUUGGACUAAUUUCUCGGCACCUAGGACCCCUCAACAAAAAGGCUUGUUGAAAGAAAAAAUAGAACUUUGGAAGAAAUGGCAAGAACAAUGCUUUGCGAAAACUCUCGUCCAAAAUAACUUUGGGCUUAAAAGCUGUGAACACGCAUGCUUUAAUUUAAUCGAGCCAUGAUUUAGGCCAAUCUUAAAAGACACCUAUGAGCCUUUGGAAAGAAGAAACCAAAUAUUGGGUUCUUUCAUUGCUUUGGAUGCAAUGCUUAUGUCCCUAAAUAUGGGAAGGACAACUAGGAAAAUUCGAUCAAUCGGAUGAAGCUUUUUCUAGGAUAUUCAAUUACAACACAGCUUUUUCGAGUUUUUAACAAACGAACUUUAGUAGUUGAAGAAUCCUGCAUGUUGGUAUUUGAUGAAUAUAAUGAUCCUUCUUUUCAAGUGCUUCAAGAAAGUUAGGAAUUGAAAAGCAUGGAAAAUAUUGAAAUCUCUCAAGAACGCAGAUACUCAAGGAGAAGCCACUGAAAAACAAAUUGCAACUAGAGGUAGUACUUACCUCAAAUUGAAAAUCACGUGGGAAACCUCAAAAGCAAAGAAGGUGGAAGCUCACAUCUCCCAAAGAAUGGAGAUAUGUUUUUCACAACCACCAACAAUCUCAUUAUUGGUGAUCCAUCAAAAGGGUAACUACUAGAACUCUAUAAAAUUUAUUGGGCAUCUUGCAUUCUAUUCUCAAUAGAACCUAAAAUUUUCAUGAAGCUGAAUUUGAUGAAUAUUGGCUUCUAGCUAUGCAAGAGAACUCAAUCCAUUCGAAAGAAAGCAAGUUUGGACUCUAGUACUAGGCAUCAAAUCAUCCUCAUAUUGGCACUAAAUGGUAUUUAGAAAUAAACUUGAUGAAUCCGGAAUCAUUGUUAGAAAUAAAGCUAGACUUUUGGCCCAAGGAUAUAGUUCAAGAAGAGGAAUAGAUUUUGAUGAUAAUUUGCUCUCCCGUAGCUAGAUUGGAAGCUAUUUCGAAUGUACAGCCUUUGCAUGCUAAUAUGGACUUCAAUUAUAUCAAAUGGAUGUAAAAAGUGCAAUUCUUAAAUGGAUUUAUUACCGAGGAAGUGUUGUGCCACCUCGCCGGGUUUGGAGAAUCAUGAAUUGCCCAAUCAUGUCUUUAACUUUCAAAGCACUCUAUGGACUUAAGCAAGCUCCAAGACGUGGUAUGAAAGACUUAGCAAAUAAUUUAAAUGAUACUAGUUUUUGGCAAGAGGGAAAAUAGAUAAUACACUUUUUAUAAAAAUUGAAGAAUAAGGACAUGCUCAUCGUCCAAGAUAUGUUGAAUGAUAUUAUAUUUGGUGCUACUAUGAGAAUAUUGCAAAGAAUUUGGCUAAAGAGCAUGCAAAGGAGAAUUCGAUGACAUAUUGGGGAGGCUAACUUUCUUCCUUGGACUAACAAAUCAAACAAUCAAGCGAAGGGACAAUUUAUAAUCAGCAAAUACACAAAGGAGCUUCCUCAAGCGUUUGGCAUGAUAGAAGCAAAACCGCUAGGCACCACCGAACCCCAUAUGGGCACAUCAAUAAGCCUUGACAAAGAUGAAAUGGUAAAAAUGUUGAUGAACAAGCCUCUAAUCGAGGUAUGAAUUGGCUCUUUUGCUCUAUUUAAAACAAAACGGAAGUAGGCCGGAUAUCAUGUUUUAGUGUAUGCCAUAUGUGCUAGAUUUCAAUCAUGUCCUAAGGAAUCAACUUUAAGUUUGCUGUGAAACGCUAUUUAGAUAGCUCAUAGAAACGUAUGACUUAGGAAUAUUCAUCCUAGGGUAGUUGCAUUUGAAUUAAAUGAUUCCUCCGAUGCCGACUAUACGCCGGAUUGUAGAUAGAUCGAAAGAGCACAAGUGGCACUUGCAUUCCUAGGACACUCUCUAGUGUCAUGGUCUAGCAAGAAACAAAAUUCCGUUGCUUUAUCAACCGCCGAGGCGGAAUAUGUGGCCGCGGAAGUUGUUGUGCCAUUCCUUAUUGGAGGAAACAACAAUGGAGGAGUAUGGUUUAAUUUGAUCAUAUUCCCAUCAAAUGUGAUAAUACACGUGCUAUAAAUUUUGUCUAAGAGCCCCAAUUAAUACAACACUCAAAGAACAAACCUAUUGAAAUUCGACAUCUCAUUUUUUAAAGAUCACGUCCCAAAGGGGGAUUUGACUUCAAUAUAUUCCUACCGACAAGCAUUGGCGGCUAUUUUUAACAAAACCCCUUGAUUGAAAAAAGAGAUUUUGCUAUAUUCCGAACUGAACUGUAAUGGUCUAAACCAAGUGAUAUUUUUGGAUCUUAAAAUAAAUUUAUAAGUAUAAGUUGAGUCAUAGUUGAGAAAGAAUAGUUCGGGACUGAAUGUAUUCAAUGCCUAAUCUCCGACAAACAAUUUUUUUCCUUUCUUUGAAUUGUUAUCUUGAUUUGAUAUGUGAUAAAUAAGAUUAUCAAAAAGCUGAGGUACUGAUAUUAUGAUAAGAACUAUGAGAUCUCUAUAUGCUUAUAUGCGAAAAUGUAAGUAUGUAAUGUCUGACAAUGAGAGUUGUUCUUUAUUUUGAUAAAACUAUCCCUUUUGAUAAUUUCAAAACUCCUCUAAAUGAAAGAAUUUUAAGAUUUGAGGUUUUAGUGCAAAAAUCUUUUGGUUUAUUCACCACUCAAAUUAUCUUUCGUUAAACAUCCUAUGUGUUUAAUUGGUAUCUAAUACUAGCAUGUGAGAUAACAAGAAAAUAUUCUUGGUCAAAAAUUUUUUAAAAAAACUCCUUCAUUAUGUUUUCAUAUGUGAUUGUUUGAUUAGUUGAAAUACAUGCAUAUCAUCAUACUUAUGCACCAACUUAGGGGAGCACUACAUAUUGGUACCACUUUGGUAGGGUAUCCUACAUUUACCUUCAUUGAAAUUAGACAUCAUAUCUUUAUUUCGUGAUCCUGUCAAAAAGAAGAUGUAGACCUAGAUUUUAUAAGUACUGGAUUUCAAUGGGUUGACAUCUUCAUAAAACCACUUCAAGAGAUCGUUCUGCAACCAUUCGAAGAGACCUUGGUAAAUGUGUAGACCACAAAUAUUAACAUAAUAUUUUAGGUUAUUUAUUUUAUAUUUUUUUAUAUAGAAUAAUUUACUAUUAUUCUGAAUCAAAUUACCUGUUUAAGUUUUCAAGAAAAUCUUAGCUUUUUCGGACUUCAACACGAACUCUCCUGGUUGCUCUUGUAAGACGGUUUUUAUCAUCUCUAGUUUUCUGAAUACUCUUUUUCCAUAUCAUUAGCAUAUGAUCGACAUUUCUCUUCACUCUUUAUUCCUCCUGCUGAAGACUUCUUUCCUUCGUUGCAAGUUUCAAACUUGAGAGUCCUUAGCUCUUGACUGCAUUUCCCUCGACUUGUAACGUCGAGCCAUAAUUUGCAACGAAGAUGCACCCUGGAUUACUGAGUGCCAUAGGAGUCCUUAAUGGCUUCAAUAUCAAUUCCAUAUUCCUCUAUAACUUUUCCAUCUUGUGGAGUACUGAUUCCUUUAGGCUAACUGAUGCAGCAAACU
rnacentral:lncRNA from 1 species